rnacentral:rRNA from 1 species
AGAACCUUACCUGGUCUUGACAUCCACAGAACUUUCCAGAGAUGGAUUGGUGCCUUCGGGAACUGUGAGACAGGUGCUGCAUGGCUGUCGUCAGCUCGUGUUGUGAAAUGUUGGGUUAAGUCCCGCAACGAGCGCAACCCUUAUCCUUUGUUGCCAGCGGUCCGGCCGGGAACUCAAAGGAGACUGCCAGUGAUAAACUGGAGGAAGGUGGGGAUGACGUCAAGUCAUCAUGGCCCUUACGACCAGGGCUACACACGUGCUACAAUGGCGCAUACAAAGAGAAGCGACCUCGCGAGAGCAAGCGGACCUCAUAAAGUGCGUCGUAGUCCGGAUUGGAGUCUGCAACUCGACUCCAUGAAGUCGGAAUCGCUAGUAAUCGUGGAUCAGAAUGCCACGGUGAAUACGUUCCCGGGCCUUGUACACACCGCCCGUCACACCAUGGGAGUGGGUUGCAAAAGAAGUAGGUAGCUUAACCUUCGGGAGGGCGCUUACCACUUUGUGAUUCAUGACUGGGGUGAAGUCGUAACAAGGUAACCGUAGGGGAACCUGCGGUUGGAUCACCUCCUU